AGCAAAAUCNGGAAGUCAGGUGACUGGAGC
rnacentral:piRNA from 1 species